rnacentral:sRNA from 1 species
CCAGGCUUGUAUAACUUAUAAAAUGGCGGCGGCGGCGGGACAUUUGCUUACUUCCCGGGAUUAGCAAAGCAGCUAGAGGAUGACUCUAAGCAGAGUGGAGAAGCUGGCCAGUUAAUGUGUCAGGG